rnacentral:rRNA from 1 species
UACGUAGGUGGCAAGCGUUGUCCGGAUUUACUGGGCGUAAAGGGCGUGCAGGCGGUCUGUUAAGUGCAGGGUGAAAGCUCCCGGCUCAACUGGGAGAGGUCCUUGCAUACUGGCGGACUUGAGGGGGGUAGAGGAAAGUGGAAUUCCCGGUGUAGUGGUGAUAUGCGUAGAUAUCUGGAGGAACACCGGUGGCGAAGGCGGCAUCCUGGACCAACACUGACGCUGAGUGAGCGAAAGCCAGGGGAGCAAACGGG